GUGGGAAGGCCGCGCGUUCUUUCUAACCUCACCUCUCUUUCAGAGAGGUGUACGGCGCUGUACGGCGGCGGAGGUACGGACGGUCCCGGGCCUGUGGCCGCUUGGCCUCCGACGGCUGGGGCGCCGCGGCCGGGCCGGGUCCGAGGCUCCCGGUUCCUGAACGCGUGUAGGACAGCGGCCUGGUCUGGCCUCCGCCACGUUGUCGGUUUAAGAUGGACGCUUGAAGCAUAGACUGCUGCUAGCUGACUACUUACUAUCUGGGAGCACAAAGAUGACCUAAGGAUGUCCUCGGUAAGGAACUUGACAACUUGAUCUUCGGGAGUUGCUUAGAGUAUUUAAAAUUUCCAGGAUUGCUAAAAAAAAUACUGCUUUUGGAUAGUCCAUAAAUGUACAUCUAAAACAGUGGGGCUAUAAAUAAAAUAAUUCAAUGGGCU